rnacentral:rRNA from 1 species
GACAGAGGUGCCGAGCGUUAGGCGGAAUCACUGGGCUUAAAGCGUGUGUAGGCGGACCGUUAAGUACCUUGUGAAAUCCCACGGCUCAACCGUGGAACGGCUGGGUAUACUGGCGGUCUUGGGCCACCUAGGGGCCAUCGGAACAGGCGGUGGAGCGGUGAAAUGCGUAGAUAUCGUGAGGAACACCAGAGGCGAAGGCGGCUACCUGGACAAUUGCUGACGCUCAGGCACGAAAGCGUGGGGAGCAAAAGGG